UUAAGCGACUAAGCGUACACGGUGGAUGCCCUGGCAGUCAGAGGCGAUGAAGGACGUGCUAAUCUGCGAUAAGCGUCGGUAAGGUGAUAUGAACCGUUAUAACCGGCGAUUUCCGAAUGGGGAAACCCAGUGUGAUUCGUCACACUAUCAUUAACUGAAUCCAUAGGUUAAUGAGGCGAACCGGGGGAACUGAAACAUCUAAGUACCCCGAGGAAAAGAAAUCAACCGAGAUUCCCCAGUAGCGGCGAGCGAACGGGGAGCAGCCCAGAGCCUGAAUCAGUGUGUGUGUUAGUGGAAGCGUCUGGAAAGGCGCGCGAUACAGGGUGACAGCCCCGUACACAAAAAUGCACAUGCUGUGAGCUCGAUGAGUAGGGCGGGACACGUGGUAUCCUGUCUGAAUAUGGGGGGACCAUCCUCCAAGGCUAAAUACUCCUGACUGACCGAUAGUGAACCAGUACCGUGAGGGAAAGGCGAAAAGAACCCCGGCGAGGGGAGUGAAAAAGAACCUGAAACCGUGUACGUACAAGCAGUGGGAGCACGCUUAGGCGUGUGACUGCGUACCUUUUGUAUAAUGGGUCAGCGACUUAUAUUCUGUAGCAAGGUUAACCGAAUAGGGGAGCCGAAGGGAAACCGAGUCUUAACUGGGCGUUAAGUUGCAGGGUAUAGACCCGAAACCCGGUGAUCUAGCCAUGGGCAGGUUGAAGGUUGGGUAACACUAACUGGAGGACCGAACCGACUAAUGUUGAAAAAUUAGCGGAUGACUUGUGGCUGGGGGUGAAAGGCCAAUCAAACCGGGAGAUAGCUGGUUCUCCCCGAAAGCUAUUUAGGUAGCGCCUCGUGAAUUCAUCUCCGGGGGUAGAGCACUGUUUCGGCAAGGGGGUCAUCCCGACUUACCAACCCGAUGCAAACUACGAAUACCGGAGAAUGUUAUCACGGGAGACACACGGCGGGUGCUAACGUCCGUCGUGAAGAGGGAAACAACCCAGACCGCCAGCUAAGGUCCCAAAGUCAUGGUUAAGUGGGAAACGAUGUGGGAAGGCCCAGACAGCCAGGAUGUUGGCUUAGAAGCAGCCAUCAUUUAAAGAAAGCGUAAUAGCUCACUGGUCGAGUCGGCCUGCGCGGAAGAUGUAACGGGGCUAAACCAUGCACCGAAGCUGCGGCAGCGACGCUGAUGCGUUGUUGGGUAGGGGAGCGUUCUGUAAGCCUGCGAAGGUGUGCUGUGAGGCAUGCUGGAGGUAUCAGAAGUGCGAAUGCUGACAUAAGUAACGAUAAAGCGGGUGAAAAGCCCGCUCGCCGGAAGACCAAGGGUUCCUGUCCAACGUUAAUCGGGGCAGGGUGAGUCGACCCCUAAGGCGAGGCCGAAAGGCGUAGUCGAUGGGAAACAGGUUAAUAUUCCUGUACUUGGUGUUACUGCGAAGGGGGGACGGAGAAGGCUAUGUUGGCCGGGCGACGGUUGUCCCGGUUUAAGCGUGUAGGCUGGUUUUCCAGGCAAAUCCGGAAAAUCAAGGCUGAGGCGUGAUGACGAGGCACUACGGUGCUGAAGCAACAAAUGCCCUGCUUCCAGGAAAAGCCUCUAAGCAUCAGGUAACAUCAAAUCGUACCCCAAACCGACACAGGUGGUCAGGUAGAGAAUACCAAGGCGCUUGAGAGAACUCGGGUGAAGGAACUAGGCAAAAUGGUGCCGUAACUUCGGGAGAAGGCACGCUGAUAUGUAGGUGAAGCGACUUGCUCGUGGAGCUGAAAUCAGUCGAAGAUACCAGCUGGCUGCAACUGUUUAUUAAAAACACAGCACUGUGCAAACACGAAAGUGGACGUAUACGGUGUGACGCCUGCCCGGUGCCGGAAGGUUAAUUGAUGGGGUUAGCGCAAGCGAAGCUCUUGAUCGAAGCCCCGGUAAACGGCGGCCGUAACUAUAACGGUCCUAAGGUAGCGAAAUUCCUUGUCGGGUAAGUUCCGACCUGCACGAAUGGCGUAAUGAUGGCCAGGCUGUCUCCACCCGAGACUCAGUGAAAUUGAACUCGCUGUGAAGAUGCAGUGUACCCGCGGCAAGACGGAAAGACCCCGUGAACCUUUACUAUAGCUUGACACUGAACAUUGAGCCUUGAUGUGUAGGAUAGGUGGGAGGCUUUGAAGUGUGGACGCCAGUCUGCAUGGAGCCGACCUUGAAAUACCACCCUUUAAUGUUUGAUGUUCUAACGUGGACCCGUAAUCCGGGUUGCGGACAGUGUCUGGUGGGUAGUUUGACUGGGGCGGUCUCCUCCUAAAGAGUAACGGAGGAGCACGAAGGUUGGCUAAUCCUGGUCGGACAUCAGGAGGUUAGUGCAAUGGCAUAAGCCAGCUUGACUGCGAGCGUGACGGCGCGAGCAGGUGCGAAAGCAGGUCAUAGUGAUCCGGUGGUUCUGAAUGGAAGGGCCAUCGCUCAACGGAUAAAAGGUACUCCGGGGAUAACAGGCUGAUACCGCCCAAGAGUUCAUAUCGACGGCGGUGUUUGGCACCUCGAUGUCGGCUCAUCACAUCCUGGGGCUGAAGUAGGUCCCAAGGGUAUGGCUGUUCGCCAUUUAAAGUGGUACGCGAGCUGGGUUUAGAACGUCGUGAGACAGUUCGGUCCCUAUCUGCCGUGGGCGCUGGAGAAUUGAGGGGGGCUGCUCCUAGUACGAGAGGACCGGAGUGGACGCAUCACUGGUGUUCGGGUUGUCAUGCCAAUGGCACUGCCCGGUAGCUAAAUGCGGAAGAGAUAAGUGCUGAAAGCAUCUAAGCACGAAACUUGCCCCGAGAUGAGUUCUCCCUGACCCUUUAAGGGUCCUGAAGGAACGUUGAAGACGACGACGUUGAUAGGCCGGGUGUGUAAGCGCAGCGAUGCGUUGAGCUAACCGGUACUAAUGAACCGUGAGGCUUAACCUU
rnacentral:rRNA from 1 species